UACGUAGGGUGCAAGCGUUACUCGGAAUUACUGGGCGUAAAGCGUGCGUAGGUGGUUUGUUAAGUCUGCUGUGAAAGCCCCGGGCUCAACCUGGGAAUGGCAGUGGAUACUGGCAAGCUAGAGUGCGGUAGAGGGGUGUGGAAUUCCCGGUGUAGCGGUGAAAUGCGUAGAGAUCGGGAGGAACACCAGUGGCGAAGGCGGCACCCUGGACCAGCACUGACACUGAGGCACGAAAGCGUGGGGAGCAAACAGG
rnacentral:rRNA from 1 species